UGAAAGAAUCUGUUAAGCUCAGGAGGGAUAGCGCCAUGGAUGGUCUUCUUUUUUGCUCCAUUUUCUGGUUUGCAUUUUAAUUUGAUCUUCUAUUGUGCUAUCCAUCCUGAGUUUCAUGGCUUUCUCAC
rfam:Lupinus angustifolius cultivar Tanjil chromosome LG12, whole genome shotgun sequence.